GGUGAACCUGCGGAAGGAUCAUUACCGAGUGCGGGUCCUUUGGGCCCAACCUCCCAUCCGUGUCUAUUGUACCCUGUUGCUUCGGCGGGCCCGCCGCUUGUCGGCCGCCGGGGGGGCGCCUCUGCCCCCCGGGCCCGUGCCCGCCGGAGACCCCAACACGAACACUGUCUGAAAGCGUGCAGUCUGAGUUGAUUGAAUGCAAUCAGUUAAAACUUUCAACAAUGGAUCUCUUGGUUCCGGCAUCGAUGAAGAACGCAGCGAAAUGCGAUAACUAAUGUGAAUUGCAGAAUUCAGUGAAUCAUCGAGUCUUUGAACGCACAUUGCGCCCCCUGGUAUUCCGGGGGGCAUGCCUGUCCGAGCGUCAUUGCUGCCCUCAAGCCCGGCUUGUGUGUGGGGUCGCCGUCCCCCUCUCCGGGGGGACGGGCCCGAAAGGCAGCGGCGGCACCGCGUCCGAUCCUCGAGCGUAUGGGGCUUUGUCACAUGCUCUGUAGGAUUGGCCGGCGCCUGCCGACGUUUUCCAACCAUUCUUUCCAGGUUGACCUCGGAUCAGGUAGGGAUACCCGCUGAACUUAAGCAU
rnacentral:rRNA from 1 species